CAGGGAGACAACAAAAUGUUUAAUAUUAUUAUUUUGUCACCUUAGGUCGAUCGGUAUCUCACGUUCUUAAUUUUUUAAGAAUUUCAUUUCCUAAGUUUUUCUAGGUCACACCCAUUAUUUUUCCUGGGCCACUAGCUCAGGUGGUUAGAGCGCACCCCUGAUAAGGGUGAGGUCCCUGGUUCAAGUCCAGGAUGGCCCAUAUCUCUAUGUUGGGGGUAUAGCUCAGUUGGUAGAGCGCCUGCUUUGCAAGCAGGAUGUCAGCGGUUCGAGUCCGCUUACCUCCACUGAUUACCACCUCUUCCAUAACCGGUAUAAAGGAAUUGUUUUGAGUUGUGAUCAUUAUUCUGAACGAAUCUAGCUUCCUAAUGAAAUCAUUAAGAUGCUGGACUCAUUGAAUUAAUUUCAUUGUUUUCAGAGAACCUUGACAACUGCAUAGAUUUUUUAAAAGACAAUAAGCAUCUUUAAUGAUGCAGAUUUAUUAUUUGUGCGAAUGCAUUAAUAACAAUUCUAUUAAGCUGAUGCUUCAAUUUUGAAGUUAUU
rnacentral:tRNA from 1 species